GGGAGCUCAGUGGUAGAGCGUUUGCCUAGCAUGGAAAAGGCCCUGAGUUCAAUCUCAGCCCU
rnacentral:tRNA from 1 species